rnacentral:rRNA from 1 species
UGGUGCGAUCAUACGAGCAGUAAAGCACCAGAUCCCAUGAGAACUUCGAAGUUAAGCGUUCUUGAGCGAGAGUAGUACUACAAUGGGUGACCUCCUAAGAAAUCCUCAUGUUGCAGUCC